AUCCGGGUUGCGGACAGUGUCUGGUGGGUAGUUUGACUGGGGCGGUCUCCUCCUAAAGAGUAACGGAGGAGCACGAAGGUUGGCUAAUCCUGGUCGGACAUCAGGAGGUUAGUGCAAUGGCAUAAGCCAGCUUGACUGCGAGCGUGACGGCGCGAGCAGGUGCGAAAGCAGGUCAUAGUGAUCCGGUGGUUCUGAAUGGAAGGGCCAUCGCUCAACGGAUAAAAGGUACUCCGGGGAUAACAGGCUGAUACCGCCCAAGAGUUCAUAUCGACGGCGGUGUUUGGCACCUCGAUGUCGGCUCAUCACAUCCUGGGGCUGAAGUAGGUCCCAAGGGUAUGGCUGUUCGCCAUUUAAAGUGGUACGCGAGCUGGGUUUAGAACGUCGUGAGACAGUUCGGUCCCUAUCUGCCGUGGGCGCUGGAGAACUGAGGGGGGCUGCUCCUAGUACGAGAGGACCGGAGUGGACGCAUCACUGGUGUUCGGGUUGUCAUGCCAAUGGCACUGCCCGG
rnacentral:rRNA from 1 species